UCCUACGGGACGCAGCAGUGAGGAAUAUUGGUCAAUGGUCGGGAGACUGAACCAGCCAAGCCGCGUGAGGGAUGAAGGUACAGAGUAUCGUAAACCUCUUUUGUCAGGGAACAAAGGCGGGGACGUGUCCCCGGAUGAGUGUACCUGAAGAAAAAGCAUCGGCUAACUCCGUGCCAGCAGCCGCGGUAAUACGGAGGAUGCGAGCGUUAUCCGGAUUUAUUGGGUUUAAAGGGUGCGCAGGCGGUCUGUUAAGUCAGCGGUCAAAACCCGGGGCCCAACCCCGGCCCCCCGUUGAAACUGGACGG
rnacentral:rRNA from 1 species